rnacentral:lncRNA from 1 species
UACAAUCAAAUAUUGCAGAUGAUAAAUAAAUCCAACACAAAUGAGUCUAGUGCAAAUAUGACAGGUAUAUUUGCAGGUACUUCCUCUUGUAAUGAUGUUGUUAGAUGUUGUUUCAAUUGGAUAGUAGAUAGUGGGGCAACCAAUCAUAUGGUUAGUUCUAAAACACUACUGAAUCGUGAUUCCACAGUGAAUCCAGGAAAAGUUCAAAUAGCUACAGGUGACUCAGCAACUAUUACACACUCAGGAAGUUCUCAACUAACAGGAGGUGAAGUUAUUGAGGAUGUAUUUUGUGCGCCAGAAUUUAAAUUCAAUCUCUUAUCAGUGUCUAAGUUGACUAGGGAGUUGAAUUGUUGUGUUGUAUUUUUCCCUGAUUUCUUUAUCCUUCAGGAUCUCUUCACUGGGAAAGUGAAGGAGAUUGGUAAAGAGGAAGAUGGAUUAUAUCUGCUGAGGCCUCGAAAUCCAGUUCAAACACAACAAGGAGCAAGUUCAUUAGUAGCUUGAGGCCUCGAAAUCCAUUUCAAACACAACAAGGAGCAAGUUCGUUAGUAGCAGCAAAAGGAUGUGAGAAUGAUGUCACUUGGCAUAAGAGAUUAGGGCAUGUGCCUAUGAAUGUGAUUAGAAAAAUUAGUAUGCUUAAGCUCAAUAAGAGUCCAACUAUGACUCAUUGUGAUGUAUGUCCACUAGCUAGACAAAUCAGAUUGCCUUUUCGAUCAUGCAGUAGUAGAAGUACUAGAUGUUUUGAUUUGGUUCAUUUGGAUGUAUGGGGACCUUAUAAAGCAAC